rnacentral:rRNA from 1 species
CCCUUAGAUGUUCUGGGCCGCACGCGCGCUACACUGUUUGAUUCAGCGAGUCUUAACCUUGACCGAAAGGUUUGGGUAAUCUUCUAAAGUCAAACGUGAUGGGGAUCGAUCAUUGCAAUUAUUGAUCAUGAACGAGGAAUUCCUAGUAAAUGCAAGUCAUCAGCUUGCGUUGAUUACGUCCCUGCCCUUUGUACACACCGCCCGUCGCUACUACCGAUUGAAUGGUUUAGUGAGAUCUCCGGAUUGGCUCUGUAGGUCCCGCAAGGGAUUUAUUAGUAGCCAAGAAGCUGCUCAAACUUGAUCAUUUAGAGGAAGUAAAAGUCGUAACA